AAUUUCAAAUGGAAAUAUGGUCAAAAACAAAGUUGAUCCUCUCAUCAGGAUCUACAACUUUUAUUUUGGUCACUUCUUCAUCUGACAAAGUGAUAGUACCAAUGUUUACAAAAUUGACAUAUCUGUGUUGAUAUUUAUAAACCAGAUGAGAGAAAUGUGAUUAUUGUGAAUAGUAUAACUAUCACUUUGUCGGAUGAAGAAGUGACCAAAAUAAGUUGUAGAUCUUGAUGAGAGGAUCAACUUUGUUUUUCACCAUAUUUCCAUUUGAAAUC
rnacentral:pre_miRNA from 1 species